UACAGAGGUCUCAAGCGUUGUUCGGAUUCAUUGGGCGUAAAGGGUGCGUAGGCGGCGCGGUAAGUCGGGUGUGAAAUCUUGGAGCUUAACUCCGAAACUGCAUUCGAUACUGCCGUGCUUGAGGACUGGAGAGGAGACUGGAAUUUACGGUGUAGCGGUGAAAUGCGUAGAUAUCGUAAGGAAGACCAGUGGCGAAGGCGGGUCUCUGGGCCGGUACUGACGCUGAGGAGCGAAAGCGUGGGGAGCAAACAGG
rnacentral:rRNA from 1 species